CGAGCAUCAUCAGCGCCGCAGCCGCCCACAGCUCCAGCUGCACCAUGGCCCAACCACAUCCAGCCUGAAACACACGGGAUGGAGACACUGCAAUGUGCCAAAGGCCAGUACAUCAUUGCUCUGGCUGGCAGGAACCUUUCCUACUGCCUUCCUUCAACCUCUCUUGUUACAACUUCAGCCUGUAUUAUAUUGAGGAAGCCGCUGGGACCAGGGCACACCCCGAGCACCGUGAUCCCACAAAUCCCUCAGGAGCAGCUGCUCCAGACAAGCAAUUCCUGGGAGAGCAGCACACUGGAGUCUGGAUACAGCUGUGGUCUCCUUCAGAGGGGGAAGUUCAUCUUCUAAAACAGGGCCUGCUCCUUCUCUGGCCUCAAAUAGAUUCCUUUUUAGCAAUCAAGGAGACAGGCUUUUUCUUACUAAAAAAAAAUUAAUGAACUUGCAAAAGCUUAUCUACUCUGUGCCAGGUCUUGUCCUAAUUUAUGGAUUCACCCCAGUAACAAGGCUCUCUGUGAAGAUCUGAAGGAAGGAGAGAUGGUUUUAUCCUGGAAGAUUAAAAGGUCUGCUCUUAAUUCCACUGAAAUGGAGAGUAGGACGACAUGGACACUCACUGUCCAUCUGUCCAAGAGCAGCACAACAAAGUGAGGAAACCUUUUGAAUUGAAAUAAGGCAAUUCUGGCUUAUAAAAUCAGUGGAUAUAAGCUGGAUAUGCACAGGCUAGAAAUAAAAUUCCUAAUGGAUGGAAAGUCUGGAAUAAUUUCCCAAAAGCAGAAGAAGAGGCACAAAGCUCAUGAGAAAAAAACCUGCAAGAGCUCUUAAAGUGAACUUUAGCUUUUUGCUGAGACACGAGGAGAGUGAGGAAUGUGUUGAUGUGGCCUCAGCAAUGCCUGGUUUUCCAUGAGGUCAUUUCUGAUGAAGACAUUUUAGCCCUUUGCAGACAUCAAAUCCACCCCUGAGUUCACACUGCAAGAUAAAGACUAAAAUCAUGCAUUUAUAUUAUGCAUUCUAUCUAUCAAUCAAAAAAAAAUGCCCAAAAGGCAAAUAUAAACCAUUCACUUUCUCUCCCCUCCAGAAAGUUUUGUGGUCUGCACCAGUUUGCUGUAAAUUAAUUCUAAUUAAGGCUGGUAGGAUGAGUCACUGGUAUGAAAUAUGAAGUGGAAAGUGUAUUUAAAGACUCACCAUAUGAAAUUCAGCACACUGACUUGUUGAACAGAUGCAAUAUUCAGCUUGAGUCAAUGUCUCUAACACGGCUAAGAAAAGCAACUCCACUUUCUGUUUGCCUGUGUGGCACAGAUUGCCACAGAAAUUCCCAUCAAUUCAGAAAUUAAAGUCUCAGACCAAGGAAGCUCCUGUGGCUGGAAUGACUUUGAUGACCAGCACUGAGCCUUCAGAAAAGCUCCUUCCCAGAGGUCUGCACAUCUCAUUUCCUACCAGAUUUAUGCCAGUGUCAGGCUUCUCAGGAAAGCUGCUGCCAUUGAGUUAAAAUCUGGGUUUUUUACAGCUAUUCAGGCAGACCAGGCUUUUAUGCCAAUAGAAGCAUUUCAGUAGAACAGAUGAUGAAAGGGGAAGAUUAGAAUUGAUAAACCAACUUUCACAUAGAUUAUAACUCUGGAAAAUGCUUUUAAAAAAAAUCCUGGGUGGAAAAUAUGGUGCAAAACCCCAGUCACAACAGGCAUGGCAGCACAAGGAGGUGACUCACAGACGUAUCUUGUAUUUAGAACUUCCCUGUUUUGGGCAGCACUGAAGCUUCACAGCCUCAUUCACUUCCACUGGGAGCCCAGGGGAUGCCAUGUUAGCAAUACAGGCAACCCCUGUGUAAAUACAGGCUCCAGAACCACGAAAAUGAGCCAAUCUCAUGCAAGAUUCUCCAAAAAUUAUCCUCUUCUGCUAAAUUACCUGCCUCGUUGCCCAUAGUACACUGAACAUUGCUCACACGAGAGAAAACUGUUGCAAAACCAAAUCUCUCUCUAACUAGAAUUAGCUAUUUCAGGCACUUAGAUGCAGUAAAAUAAAUACAUUCACAUCCAUGAUGCCAGUCAGCUCUGCCAUCAAUGGAAAACCCAGGAAGUGUCGUUUCAAUCAGCUAUUUUUAAGGACUGGGCUUUGGAGGGGGAGCAGCGUGGGCUGCAGCAGUCCCAGGAGCUACAGCAGGAGCCAGAAGGACCAUGCAGGGAUGGGGGAAGCUCAGCACAGAUGGAAUCUUCCAGAAUAUUUUAGAAGAUGUGAAUGCAGAAAUAAUGUAAUGAAACCCACGCUUCCAGCAGCAGAUGGACGAGGAGAUGGAAAGGACAGUGGUGUAAAACAGAGGAUCCAGGCUGUGUGGGAUGGACCCAUCUCAGGCCCAGAGGGGUCUAAAGGCCCCUGAGAAGAGAGGGUUGGUAAUUCCUACCUUGGAGCUGGUGAUGGGCAGGAGCAGCAGGGAGGAGGGAACAUCCACCAAUGUCGCUUUUCAGAGAGGUUUUACAGGGGUGACCUUGAACUUCUUUAAAGGAUCACCAACCCUGGGGGUCUCUGAGCUCAGUGGGACACCCCGGUGUCCCCCCAGGAGCCCCAAGAACCUCUGGGCUCUUUCCUGUCCCCAUCC